rnacentral:rRNA from 1 species
UCCUGACUGACCGAUAGUGAACCAGUACCGUGAGGGAAAGGCGAAAAGAACCCCUGUGAGGGGAGUGAAAUAGAACCUGAAACCGUGUACGUACAAGCAGUAGGAGCACCUUCGUGGUGUGACUGCGUACCUUUUGUAUAAUGGGUCAGCGACUUAUAUUCAGUGGCAAGGUUAACCGUAUAGGGGAGCCGUAGCGAAAGCGAGUCUUAACUGGGCGCUCAGUCUCUGGAUAUAGACCCGAAACCGGGUGAUCUAGCCAUGGGCAGGUUGAAGGUUGAGUAACAUCAACUGGAGGACCGAACCGACUAAUGUUGAAAAAUUAGCGGAUGACUUGUGGCUAGGGGUGAAAGGCCAAUCAAACUCGGAGAUAGCUGGUUCUCCCCGAAAGCUAUUUAGGUAGCGCCUCGGACGAAUACUACUGGGGGUAGAGCACUGUUAAGGCUAGGGGGUCAUCCCGACUUACCAACCCUUUGCAAACUCCGAAUACCAGUAAGUACUAUCCGGGAGACACACGGCGGGUGCUAACGUCCGUCGUGGAGAGGGAAACAACCCAGACCGCCAGCUAAGGUCCCAAAGUAUUGCUAAGUGGGAAACGAUGUGGGAAGGCUCAGACAGCUAGGAUGUUGGCUUAGAAGCAGCCAUCAUUUAAAGAAAGCGUAAUAGCUCACUAGUCGAGUCGGCCUGCGCGGAAGAUGUAACGGGGCUAAGCAAUACACCGAAGCUGCGGCAAUGUCUUUUAGAUAUUGGGUAGGGGAGCGUUCUGUAAGCCGUUGAAGGUGAAUCGUAAGGUUUGCUGGAGGUAUCAGAAGUGCGAAUGCUGACAUGAGUAACGACAAAGGGGGUGAAAAACCUCCUCGCCGGAAGACCAAGGGUUCCUGUCCAACGUUAAUCGGGGCAGGGUGAGUCGACCCCUAAGGUGAGGCCGAAAGGCGUAAUCGAUGGGAAACGGGUUAAUAUUCCCGUACUUCUGACUAUUGCGAUGGGGGGACGGAGAAGGCUAGGUGGGCCAGGCGACGGUUGUCCUGGUUCAAGUGCGUAGGCUUGAGAGUUAGGUAAAUCCGGCUCUCUCUAAGGCUGAGACACGACGUCGAGCUGCUACGGCAGUGAAGUCAUUGAUGCCAUGCUUCCAGGAAAAGCCUCUAAGCUUCAGAUAGUCAGGAAUCGUACCCCAAACCGACACAGGUGGUCGGGUAGAGAAUACCAAGGCGCUUGAGAGAACUCGGGUGAAGGAACUAGGCAAAAUGGUACCGUAACUUCGGGAGAAGGUACGCUCUUGAUGGUGAAGUCCCUCGCGGAUGGAGCUGACGAGAGUCGCAGAUACCAGGUGGCUGCAACUGUUUAUUAAAAACACAGCACUGUGCAAAAUCGCAAGAUGACGUAUACGGUGUGACGCCUGCCCGGUGCCGGAAGGUUAAUUGAUGGGGUUAGCGCAAGCGAAGCUCUUGAUCGAAGCCCCGGUAAACGGCGGCCGUAACUAUAACGGUCCUAAGGUAGCGAAAUUCCUUGUCGGGUAAGUUCCGACCUGCACGAAUGGCGUAAUGAUGGCCACGCUGUCUCCACCCGAGACUCAGUGAAAUUGAAAUCGCUGUGAAGAUGCAGUGUACCCGCGGCUAGACGGAAAGACCCCGUGAACCUUUACUACAGCUUGGCACUGAACAUUGAACCUACAUGUGUAGGAUAGGUGGGAGGCUAUGAAGACGUGACGCCAGUUGCGUUGGAGCCG